rnacentral:rRNA from 1 species
GAUGAACGCUGGCGGCGUGCUUAACACAUGCAAGUCGAGCGAACAAUGCGGGAGGGAGUCUUCGGACAAAGCCCCGCUGCGUGAGCGGCGGACGGGUGAGUAACACGUGGGCAACCUGCCCUAUGCACAGGGAUAACGCACCGAAAGGUGUGCUAAUACCGGAUAAAGCGAAGAGUCCGCAUGGACAUUUCGCCAAAGCUCUGGCGGCAUAGGAUGGGCCCGCGUCCCAUUAGCUAGUUGGUGAGGUAAUGGCUCACCAAGGCUGCGAUGGGUAGCCGACCUGAGAGGGUGAACGGCCACACUGGAACUGAGACACGGUCCAGACUCCUACGGGUGGCAG